rnacentral:rRNA from 1 species
GAUGAACGCUGGCGGCGUGCCUAAUACAUGCAAGUCGAGCGAACGGACGAGAAGCUUGCUUCUCUGAUGUUAGCGGCGGACGGGUGAGUAACACGUGGAUAACCUACCUAUAAGACUGGGAUAACUUCGGGAAACCGGAGCUAAUACCGGAUGAUAUUUUGAACCGCAUGGUUCAAAAGUGAAAGACGGUCUUGCUGUCACUUUUAGAUGGAUCCGCGUUGCAUUAGCUAGUUGGUAAGGUAACGGCUUACCAAGGCAACGAUGCAUAGCCGACCUGAGAGGGUGAUCGGCCACACUGGAACUGAGACACGGUCCAGACUCCUACGGGAGGCAGCAGUAGGGAAUCUUCCGCAAUGGGCGAAAGCCUGACGGAGCAACGCCGCGUGAGUGAUGAAGGUCUUCGGAUCGUAAAACUCUGUUAUUAGGGAAGAACAUAUGUGUAAGUAACUGUGCACAUCUUGACGGUACCUAAUCAGAAAGCCACGGCUAACUACGUG